GUCAAGGCAAACAGGCCAGGGCCAGGGCAGACAAGAGGACAGACAAGAGGACAGACAUCUGCAGCCUGUGGCCUCCUGUCACCCUCCCACCCACCAUGGAAAUGCCCUGGCCCCUAGGGUGGAUUCUGCUUCUUUUGGGAAGCCCCCUCAUCCACGCUGAGCCUCUUCUACUGGCAGGUACAUCCUGGUGACCCCCCGAGUUCUGAGGGUUGGCAGUCCGGAGAGCAUUCACAUUCAGGCCCACUCAGACUCCAGACAGCCCCUCACAAGGACCCUCAAGGUGAACCUCACAGUGUGGGACUUCCCCAUGAGGAAGACAGUGUUGGCAAGGAGCCAGCUCAUUCUCUCACCAGGAAACAACUUUAUGGACCAGGCACCUGUGACGGUGGG
rnacentral:lncRNA from 1 species